rnacentral:lncRNA from 1 species
GAGGGGGUUUAAAUGCGUCAUAAAACGUCAUGAAACGUCAUAUUUUUUAGUCUGCUCUUAGAUGUGGUUUAAACCAUGGUUUAAUUUUAUGAGCAUGCGCACUUGAGGAGUUUGUGAAAAAUCCGUGAAGCAAAGAAAAUUUUUCUUGCGGUCCUGGACCUGACAAGUGGUCUUCUUGAUUAGAAAUUCAAUUACAUCGGCAUCAGAGGUACCAUACAGUGUAGGUCUCUAUGGAUUAUCUCCAUCUUCUUCACAGCUUUAAAUUACUAAGAGCUACCUUUCCCAAGACAUUGUGGGCUACAUGAUGCUAAAAAUCCAUCGAAAUCGUACAAGGAUGGGCCAUCUCGAGAUCAGUAUCGACUGUCAAAAGAAACCGUCACCAAUAUGCUGGAAGCCGAAAUGAAGAGGGACACACAGCUCAGAGGAUAGAUCAACUUCCUGUUUAUUUGCAGGUGUUGACAACUCUCCAUUUUUAUGCAGUGGGAUCAUUUUAAAAGAUGCAUGGUGAUGAGGCAGCAAUAAAGCAGUCAUCAAUGUGUCAGAAGCUAAAGCAAGAAGGAAGAGGCAAUACAUGAAGAUUCCUACAAGAGAAGAAGUUGAAGCAACUCGGAGACAGUUCUAUCUAACUUAGAUUUCCAGGAGUGAAAGGUGCAAUUGAUGGGACACAUGUCUACAUCAAGAGCCGGGGGGGGGGGGGGGGGGGGGGAUUGGGCCAUAUGCUUCUUAUAUACCCCUUCCAACUUCAUGUGGAGAGGAAUGCCUAUAACAAUGGCAAAAGCAUUAAGAACAUAGAAACACAGAGUUCAUUCAAAUUUAUGAAGAAUACUUUACUUCUUUAUUUGUUAAUAAAUUGAUUAUUAUAACCCUGUGAUUCCUGCAGCUUAGCUUCAGCAACCUCUCUUUAUUCAAAACGUCCAUUCGUAGUUUGUGCUCCUUCAAGCUCAUAUCGUGUCUUUCAAUCUCAUUUCAUGCUCUUUCAAUCUCAUAUCAUGUUCUUUCACUCUCAUCUUGUACUCUUUAUAAAGUCGAGACCAUGUUUCUUCCAUUGAACUUCAAUUCUAAUGGCAUGCACUUCUACCAGCUCAAACUCUUCUGACAGAUGAUUCUUUUUUCCUUGAGAUGGGUAAUUUAAAUUCCAUUUUGCAGAACAAAUGUUUGUGGUAUUGCUGCAGGGUUAAAAUUCAAUAUUGAAAUGCAUUUAAGUACAUAACAUAUAGUAACAGUGCAGUUGUAAAACACAUACUAUAAAUCAUGUUGUCAAAGAUGUAUGUUGUUUAACAUACUGGUAACUCUCUACUUGAUAGGUUCAGCUUCUGACACCAAUGUACAUUGUGUUUUCUGAUUGUUCUCGGAACCAUAAAUUGAAUUUUUGAAAACAUUAAAGACUUAAUUAUAAAAAUUUCUUUAAAAACAGACAACAAUGCAAUGCAUUCUUUUCAGAAGUAUAAAUAUUCAGUGCACAGUUCAUUGAAUUGCUUGAAUCUGGUAACAUACAUAUAUUGAAGCCCUUUUCAUACUUCAAAUGAUUCACCCUCCCAGUUCAGUUUUAUAAAUCCCUCUUCACCUCUAAAUACCUUACUACAUAUCUGUAGUAUAUUCAGAUUAUUUUGUGUGUACCAGUGUAUUGUGCAUCCAAUUGAUCUUGUAAUUACAUGUACAUGUACUUGUACUUGAUUUGGGGAUCAUGUUUAAUUUGCUACAGUAUUUAACAUCUAUUUCAACUACUUCUGAUAUAUGAGUCUGGCCAAAAAAUAUUCUGGCAGAAAGGGUCAAUGGAAAAGGGAAAAAAAGGCAUGGUAAUUUUAAUGAUACUAAAUUACCUUGAAGAGGAAUGCGAUUUCGAAGAAAUUCCACCAGUCUGGGAAUGUUUCCUUGAUACCUCAGACAAAUGAAUUUGUAGAAUUUGUCCUUGUUGUGAAAGAAAUAGAUGAACUUCUGUUCUUUUGCAGAUUUAUAAAUAUCAACAAUGUGUAACAUUCAUCUCAGUUGGGAGGGUUUUAUUAUUUUGUUUCAAGGAAAGUGAUGAAUACUCUUGAUAAUGUAAUUAUAUUAUGAUUUGGGAAGUAUUUUGAGAGGUCCACUAUGUGAGAUA